UAUCCAACUGUCCAAGGUCCAGCCUAGGCAACAGAACCAGAACCGAACCUAACAGAACUGGUACCAGGAAGCGGGGUACUGAUUGACCAGAUCCAACUCACCCCUUUAUACCUGAGAUGAGGUAUUGGUUAAGCAAUUGGCCGUGAGGAGAAAGACAGGCCCCAUUUACCAAGGUCUAUAUACGGUGGAAAAGGUCCCUUGAAGAUAAAGACCCCAGAAGCCCCGAUGGCUCCCCCCUUGGAGCGAGGGCUCAAGAACAAGGAGGACACAAAGCUAGAAGCCCCGAUGGCUCCCCUCUUGGAGCGAGGGCUCAAGAACAAGGAGGACGCAAAGCUAGAGACCCUGAUGGCUCCCUCCAUAGAGCAAGGGUCCGGGAAGACCAGCACUUAACUGCCAAUCAGGUGUACAAUAGAACGAUACAAAGAGGGAAAUAUUGUGGACUAUUGCUUAUACUGUUUGUGGUGACCGCUUUUGUGGUUUGCUACUUCACCCCAGGUUGAUACAUAAGAUAGGAAAAGGCCAAGACCUAGUAAGGAAAAGAUUCAUACCAAAUUUGGUAUAGUGAGUGAUCCCAAGAAAGUAAACAUUCUUUGGGAUCAGAGGAGGGAUGUAAGGAAUGUGAAAUAAUGGAAUAUUAUAUGUCUGACAUUAUCUACUCCAUUUUAGAUCUAGGAUUCCAUUUUAUAUAACAUAGGUCUCUGUAGAGACAUUUCAAUAUGUAUUUUUUGUUUUUGCUUUUAUUCUAACAUUUAAGUUUUGCGGUUUUCAUAAAUAGAAUAUGUGCUAGAUGGCUAGUUCCGGAGCAGGCAUUCUGUAUGCAAGUAACGUGUUCUUCUGUCUUUAAAAUUUAACAAUUGUUCCUUAAAAUCCUCUGAAAUCUGUAAGACUGAAACUUGUGAACUUGUUCCCCUUUUUCUAAAUAUGUAAGGAGGAGGAGAUUUCUGUAACUCUCUGUAUGUGUGUAUAAAAGCUCUG